rnacentral:rRNA from 1 species
CCUACGGGUGGCAGCAGUGGGGAAUAUUGGGCAAUGGGCGCAAGCCUGACCCAGCAACGCCGCGUGAAGGAAGAAGGCCCUCGGGUUGUAAACUUCUUUUAUCCGGGACGAAGAAGUUACGGUACCUGAUGAAUAAGCCACGGCUAACUACGUGCCAGCAGCCGAGGUAAUACGUAGGUCGCAAGCGUUAUCCGGAUUUACUGGGUGUAACGGGCGUGUAGGCGGGGAAGCAAGUCCGGUGUGAAAUUCAAGGGCUCAACCCUGGAACUGCAUUUGAAACUGUGUUUCGUGAGUGAUGGAGAGGCAGGCGGAAUGCCGGGUGUAGCGGUGAAAUGCGUAGAGAGACGGAGGAACACCAGUGGCGAAGGCGGCCUGCUGGACAUUAACUGACGCUGAGGCGCGAAAGCGUGGGGAGCAAACAGGAUUAGAUACCCCAGUAGUC